rnacentral:rRNA from 1 species
AUUGAACGCUGGCGGCAGGCCUAACACAUGCAAGUCGAACGAGUGGCGGACGGGUGAGUAAUGUCUGGGAAACUGCCCGAUGGAGGGGGAUAACGACUGGAAACGGUAGCUAAUACCGCAUACCAUCGGAUGUGCCCAGUUGGGAUUAGCUAGGGGGUGGGGUAACGGCUCACCUAGGCGACGAUCCGUAGCUGGUCUGAGAGGAUGACCAGCCACACGGGAACUGAGACACGGUCCAGACUCCUACGGGAGGCCGCAGUGGGGAAUAUUGCACAAUGGGCGAAAGCCUGAUGCAGCAAUGCCGCGUGUAUGAAGAAGGCCUUCGGGUUGUAAAGUACUUUCAGUGAGGAGGCGUUACUCGAAGAAGAAGCACCGGCUAACUCCGUGCCAGCAGCCGCGGUAAUAC